rnacentral:tRNA from 1 species
GCAGGCGUAGCAUAAUUGGCUAAUGCGUUUCCUUGCCAAGGAAGAGACUGCGGGUUCGAGUCCCGUCGCUUGCU